rnacentral:rRNA from 1 species
AUUGAACGCUGGCGGCAGGCCUAACACAUGCAAGUCGAGCGGAGCGGCGGACGGGUGAGUAAUGCCUAGGAAUCUGCCUGGUAGUGGGGGAUAACGUCCGGAAACGGGCGCUAAUAUCGCAUACUAUCAGAUGAGCCUAGGUCGGAUGAGCUAGGUGGUGGGGUAAAGGCCUACCAAGGCGACGAUCCGUAACUGGUUUGGGAGGAUGAUCAGUCACACUGGAACUGAGGCACGGUCCAGACGCCUACGUGAGGCAGCGGUGGGGAAUAUUGGGCAAUGGGCGAAUGCCUGAUCCAGCCAUGCCGCGUGUGUGAAGAAGGUCUUCGGAUUGUAAAGCACUUUAAGUUGGGAGGCGUUACCAACAGAAUAAGCACCGGCUAACUUCGUGCCAGCAGCCGCGGUAAUUC